rnacentral:rRNA from 1 species
AGAGUUUGAUCCUGGCUCAGGAUGAACGCUAGCUACAGGCUUAACACAUGCAAGUCGAGGGGAAACGACAUCGAAAGCUUGCUUUUGAUGGGCGUCGACCGGCGCACGGGUGAGUAACGCGUAUCCAACCUGCCCAUCACUUGGGGAUAACCUUGCGAAAGUAAGACUAAUACCCAAUGACGUCUCUAGAAGACAUCUGAAAGAGAUUAAAGAUUUUAUCGGUGAUGGAUGGGGAUGCGUCUGAUUAGCUUGUUGGCGGGGUAACGGCCGACCAAGGCGACGGAUCAGUAGGGGUUCUGGAGAGGAAGGUCCCCCACACUUGGAACUGAGACACGGUCCAAACGUCCUACGGGAGGCA